ACGGAAGGCAGCAGUGAGGAAUAUUGGUCAAUGGGCGGAAGCCUGAACCAGCCAAGUCGCGUGAAGGAUGAAGGUAUUAUGUAUUGUAAACUUCUUUAGACGUAGAGAAAUAAGAGGCUCGUGAGCCUUGAUGCUAGUAUACGUAGAAUAAGGAUCGGCUAACUCCGUGCCAGCAGCCGCGGUAAUACGGAGGAUCCGAGCGUUAUCCGGAUUUAUUGGGUUUAAAGGGUGCGCAGGCGGCCCUGUAAGUCAGCGGUUAAAUCGUGGAGCUCAACUCCAUCCCGCCGUUGAUACUGCAGGGCUUGAUUGCGGUCGAGGUUGGCGGAAUUCGCCGUGUAGCGGUGGAAUGCAUAGAUAUGGCGAAGAACUCCGAUUGCGUAGGCAGCUGACCAGGCCGUAAAUGACGCUCAUGCACGAAAGUGCGGGGAUCGAACAGGAUUAGAUACCCUGGUA
rnacentral:rRNA from 1 species